rnacentral:lncRNA from 1 species
AAUAUACUUAGGAAUUUCUUUCUCGUGUUGUUUAGGGUUUAGAAGCUGUCUCAUAGAUUAAUUUCCAGAAGGAAGACCGGAUAAAUAAUUUAAGAGAAUAUUUCAAUUCAAGGGAAAUGAUGUCAACAUGAAGAGUUGUCCUGGCCUCAAGCCUGGUCUGUCUUACCGGUGAUUUCCCUUCCUCUACACGUCAAAACGAAUUUUUGAUGUGCACGGGAGCUCCUUCAAAGUGGCAGCCACACCUGGUCACCAUGAGACCCCUCAGGAAGGGGGAAGAGUCCAUGGACGGCUGUGUGAGGACACCAGGACAAGGCCACCACCCACAAGCAAAAAGGAGACAGGCAUCAGGAGAAACCAGCCUUUGCCGACACCUCGAUCUUGGACUUGCGGCCUCUGGGACUGAGAGAAUACCUUUCUGUUACAGAAGCUCCCCAGUCUCUGGUAUUUUGUUAUCACAACCUGAAAAAAGUAAUAAAGGAGCAAAAACAUGUUAAGACAUAUCCCGUGGCUUACGACAUGUUCUUUUCAGCAACAGAAGAACAUCAUUUAAAUGGUAUUUUUGAGGGCUGGGUUGGUAACAGGAUACAAGAAAGAUUCCAGAAUACAAAGAUUGAAAGCAGGAAAAGGGUGUAGAGUUUCUUCGACUUAUGAGCUGUGAUGAUAUAAUUACAACAAAAAUGGUUGAAGGACCCUCGAAUGCUUGCCCCUGGCCUCCGUGGUUGGCUGUGACCGGCACCCACCCCAGCUGAACCACGGCCACCCUCUUGGCAAUAGCAAUCCUUUGUAGUUGUCACUGGGGUAGGACUCCAAAAAGGUUGUCUUGUCCCUUCCAUGUUUAAGAUUUAUCUUUCAAACACUUUCUUCUUAAUGCUUGAUAGGUAAGCCAGGAAUGAAUGCAAAUGCAGAUAUAUCCAUUUCGAGAUCUUAAAAAAGUUCUGUGGAAGGAAAAUAUUCAAAGUAGUCAUUAGGAUGCAUACAUUUAAAAUCUCAUUCCUCUUUUCUGGGACACC